AAAAAUUUUACAAUGAGGAUGAACGCAACAAAACUUCACCACUUUAGAAAAAAAUUAAAAAGAAAAGUGGUGAUGUGCGUGAGUCCUUACAUCCAGUCGUAAACGGAAUAUAAAAUUGUGGAUUUAAGUAAGUUUCUCCUUUUUUUUCGCCACCACCAUCUCGCGUGGAAUGACUACGCGACCAAACCAAAUUUCUUGUGUUUCAUUUUAUUCCUUCGGACAAAGACAAAUCAAAAAAAGCCAUGUUCAUUCUUGGGAGUCUCAUGUGUAAGUAUGUGUGUGUGUGCAGGCACGCUGCAUCCAUUGAAAAAAAUUCCAUGCACACACACAUGCACGAAGUAGUUGCAGUCGUGUAAACGCACAUGAAGGGUGCGCAACGCCGUUCAUUCACCUACAUCGCCCAUUCAUGCCGUUUGUCGAUUUAUAAAUCCCUACGCGACUUUGCCGUGUAUUGUUGCAGCUCAUUCAUCGGAAUCGGACAAACCAAAAACAGAAAUUUGCCGAAGUUGCACGCACUCAUCAAACAAUUUAUAACCAGGUCUCUAUAUUGUGCAGGUAAACGACCAUGGUUGUGUAUAAAAAUAAAGUGCAAGUGAUAUUUAAAAUUGGCAGUGCAUCUGCCUGAAACUUAUUUGUGUGUUAUGAAAAAAGUAUAAAAUUAAAUUUAAACAAAGAACUGAUGUGCGGAUAGACAGAUUGUCAACCAACAAAAAUAGGAUAUCCAAACGGCUUUAAAUCGCUGCAUAAGGAGUAAACUGCUGAUUGGCGUAUUUCAAGAACAUAAUUCAGUGGUGUUUCCGUCAAAGGAAAAGGAACUUCAUAUGACUUUUUUCAGCGGGAUUUGGCUUUCUUUCUUUUCUUUGAUUUUUAGGUGGGAUCUACUGGUUAGCUUCCCGGAUUGGUACUAUUGCCUGUUCCAAGGGUUAUCCACUGGCAGUUUCCCAGGUCUUUUGGCCGUUUCCAGAACCUUUUCGUUGCCUGGAACCCCUGUGCCGCACCUGGCGAUACAAAAAUAAUUGUUGGGGAUGCCCGCUUCUUUUUCGUCCAAGUCGGAUGGCGCUGUCCAAUUGUGGAUUUAUGCGCGGCGUUAUUCCUAAAUAGAACACAAAAACUUAACACAACACAUCCGACAUAACAUCACUUACAAAUCAACACUUACAAAUUGUUUAGAUACGCCACACAAAUAAAACAAUAAAACACACAAAUUGUAACUGCCAA